UCAGAAGGACUAAAAUCAAACUCG
rnacentral:miRNA from 1 species